rnacentral:rRNA from 1 species
AUUGAACGUUGGCGGCAUGCCUUACACAUGCAAGUCGAACGGCAGCACGGAGCUUGCUCUGGUGGCGAGUGGCGAACGGGUGAGUAAUAUAUCGGAACGUACCCUAGAGUGGGGGAUAACGUAGCGAAAGUUACGCUAAUACCGCAUACGAUCUAAGGAUGAAAGUGGGGGAUCGCAAGACCUCAUGCUCGUGGAGCGGCCGAUAUCUGAUUAGCUAGUUGGUAGGGUAAAAGCCUACCAAGGCAUCGAUCAGUAGCUGGUCUGAGAGGACGACCAGCCACACUGGAACUGAGACACGGUCCAGACUCCUACGGGAGGCAGCAGUGGGGAAUUUUGGACAAUGGGCGAAAGCCUGAUCCAGCAAUGCCGCGUGAGUGAAGAAGGCCUUCGGGUUGUAAAGCUCUUUUGUCAGGGAAGAAACGGUGAAAGCUAAUAUCUCUUGCUAAUGACGGUACCUGAAGAAUAAGCACCGGCUAACUACGUGCCAGCAGCCGCGGUAAUACGUAGGGUGCAAGCGUUAAUCGGAAUUACUGGGCGUAAAGCGUGCGCAGGCGGUUUUGUAAGUCUGAUGUGAAAUCCCCGGGCUCAACCUGGGAAUUGCAUUGGAGACUGCAAGGCUAGAAUCUGGCAGAGGGGGGUAGAAUUCCACGUGUAGCAGUGAAAUGCGUAGAUAUGUGGAGGAACACCGAUGGCGAAGGCAGCCCCCUGGGUCAAGAUUGACGCUCAUGCACGAAAGCGUGGGGAGCAAACAGGAUUAGAUACCCUGGUAGUCCACGCCCUAAACGAUGUCUACUAGUUGUCGGGUCUUAAUUGACUUGGUAACGCAGCUAACGCGUGAAGUAGACCGCCUGGGGAGUACGGUCGCAAGAUUAAAACUCAAAGGAAUUGACGGGGACCCGCACAAGCGGUGGAUGAUGUAGAUUAAUUCGAUGCAACGCGAAAAACCUUACCUACCCUUGACAUGGCUGGAAUCCUCGAGAGAUUGAGGAGUGCUCGAAAGAGAACCAGUACACAGGCGCUGCAUGGCUGUCGUCAGCUCGUGUCGUGAGAUGUUGGGUUAAGUCCCGCAACGAGCGCAACCCUUGUCAUUAGUUGCUACGAAAGGGCACUCUAAUGAGACUGCCGGUGACAAACCGGAGGAAGGUGGGGAUGACGUCAAGUCCUCAUGGCCCUUAUGGGUAGGGCUUCACACGUCAUACAAUGGUACAUACAGAGCGCCGCCAACCCGCGAGGGGGAGCUAAUCGCAGAAAGUGUAUCGUAGUCCGGAUUGUAGUCUGCAACUCGACUGCAUGAAGUUGGAAUCGCUAGUAAUCGCGGAUCAGCAUGUCGCGGUGAAUACGUUCCCGGGUCU